AGAAAAGCUCUCUUCUUUUUAAUAUAAUCGCCGUGGAUUUUUGUGGCCGUGUUAAUCCCGGAAACUGUUCCUUUCCCUCCAUCCUUUUGUAACCAGGAUGAAACGUGUGAAGGCGGGUAGGCUGAGAACAAGGAAACAAUGGGAUGAGUUGUUUGUGAAGUUUAAUGAAGAGAAGAAACAAAAAGGAAAUCAGGUUUCAGGUAAUGGUGAUGAGAGGGAGAAGAAUGUUGUGGUUAUUGAUCUGGAUGAGCCUGAGGUGGUGGUUGAGAAG